rnacentral:lncRNA from 1 species
AUGCUGUGCGGUGCGAAUCCAGGUUUGAACCAUUCAAGGAGCGGACGGCGCUGUUUGGUCACCUCCAGCCGCCUCACGGGGCGAGGAAACACCCGCUCUUGCUCGGAUUCAGCGUGUGAGGCAGUGUUUACGGUGGCACGUAGCAGGGUGUUACAUGAUGACGUUCAGCCUCCAAACUGCAUCACAUCACAUCUGGACAGCAGCGUGUACAUUAGCCUGUACAUUAGCGUUUGGUGCCAGAGCCACGCGGCAGAUGCUCGGCGCAAACACAAGAAGCUGCGAAGUUCCGAGGUGUCGUUCCAGGGAAUAAAUGGGAGAGAACUGCUGCUUUUCUGGACCGUUGAUGCACAUCAACGCUGGGAAAUAGGGCGCGCUGAAGCAGAUGCACAUGUUGCACAUGGAGAGUCAUCCUGUGGGUGUGAGUGCUUUAAUGCGCCUGAAUCCAGCGGAAGUGUUUUAUUGCCAGGUACGAUUCGAAGGCGCCGCCUCUGCAGAGCCUCGGACAGAUGGAUAGAUAGUAGUCGGUGUUUUGGGGUGAGGGACUCCUGUAGAAAAUCAUUUUUCUUUGUGUUUCUGUCAGAGGUGGCCCCCUACCUGCAAGGCACUGGACUGGGGCAGCAGGUGGUGUUGGAGGGAAACAGACUGGUGUUGACCUGCCUGGCUGGAGGCAGCUGGCCUCUGCAGUACCGCUGGACUCUGAGGAACAGCAACAUCACCGACUGGACGCCGCAGUACAGGUUGUCCAUCCCGUCUGUGAAGAGGACCGAUGCUGGCCUGUAUCAGUGUUUGGUUAGGAACAGGAUGGGAGCAGUAAUACACAGGAGAACAGAGGUGCAGGUGGCCUUUUUGGGGAACUUCUCCACUGAGGAGCAGAGGAAGACAGUGAGCCAGGGCAGAGCCGCAGUCAUCAGCCCGCCCGCCAUCGCCUCCUUCCCCCAGCCUGUAGCCACGUGGUUCAAAGAUGGGCACAAGGUCGUCCCCGGCAACCGAAUAGCAAUUACUUUGGACAAUCAGCUGGUCGUCCUGGCAACCACCGCAUCGGACGCGGGGCGUUACCACGUGGAGGCGGUGAACGAGAUGACAGGGGAGAACGCGACGGGCCCCGCCAUCUACCUGAGCAUCUCAGAUCCUGAGUCUGAACUUCUGGCUCCAGCAAUUGUGAUUGGACCCAAAGACACCACAGUGGUGGCAGGAACGGAGGUCACAUUAGAGUGCAUCGCUAACGCGAGGCCGCUUGACGGCUUGGUGGUGUCAUGGAAACGGGACGGGCGUUGGCUGGCCGGUGGGCGUCGGCUCAUUAUUCCCUCCCCCACCUCUUCUGACUCCGGGUUAUAUGUUUGUGAGGCGUUGCUUAGCAACAGCACUGCCAAACCUGCGGAGGCAAGGGCACACAUCACCGUAAUGGAACCGCCCGCUCUGACUGCAGAACCCAAGACGAAGAUCCUCGCGGAGCUCGACAAGAAUGUAGACAUCCCGUGUGUUGCUACAGGCGUGCCCCAGCCCAGGGUGGAGUGGUAUAAGGACGCUGUGCCUCUCUCCAAACUGGCCAACCCCCGCUACAAGGUCACCGCCGCGGCCGGGCUGACGGUGCGCAGGGUGCAGCCGGGGGACGGGGGCAUAUUCCAGUGCAUCGCCCGCAGCGCUGCCGGAGAGAGCCAGGCGCACACGCAGCUCCUCGUCUCCAGUGUGGCCCCUACAUUUACAUCCCCCCCAUCUGACCGAACAGUAACUGAUGGAAACACAGCCCUGUUUAGCUGCCAGACGAGCGGCGCCCCAAAGCCUGCCAUCACCUGGAGGAAAGGAUUGCUGGUCUUAGCCAGCGGCUCCGUCCAGGUUCCCAGGUUCACGCUGUUGCAGACGGGCGGUUUGCAGAUUCAGCCAGUCAGCUUCCAGGAUUCAGGAGAAUACACCUGCAUCGCCUCCAACUCAGAGGGAACCAUCAAUACCACAGCUACACUCACUGUGUGGAGUCGUACAGUCAUUUCUGUGCCUCCAACGGAUCAGCGAGUUAUCAAAGGAACCACCGCUACUCUGAUCUGCAACGCUACGCGUGACCCCCGAGUCGAUAUCAGGUGCUUCUGGUGGGACCGCGGUGGCGUCCCCGUGCUUCCAACCAGCGGGGGCCGUGUUUCUGUGCGUCAGGGCUCCCUCACUAUCGGUCAGACGUGGUCAGGUGACAUCGGGGACUACACCUGCACGGUGACAUCACAGGCCGGCAACGACUCUCGCUCUGCGCGCCUUGAAGUCAUAGAGCUGCCACACUCCCCUCGCUCCCUGACGGCCCACCUCAACGACUCCGAUUCCCGCUCCGUCCUCCUGUCCUGGCUGCGACCCUUCGACGGGAACUCCCCUCUCCUUCACUACGUGCUGGAGCUGUCUGAGAACAACUCCCCAUGGAAGGUCUACUUACCAGAGGUGGAUCCAGCUGUGACCAAUGUGUCGGUGGGCGGGCUCACGCCGGCCCGGACCUAUCAGUUCAGGCUCUGUGCUGUCAAUCAGGUGGGCCGGGGUCAGUACAGCUCAGAGACUCAGAGAUUAAUGCUGCGAGAGGAGGCGCCGAGUGCUCCUCCGAAGAAUAUCGUGGCCAGUGGGCGGACGAACCAGUCCAUCAUGGUCCAGUGGCAGCCUCCGCCGGAACCGCAGCUCAACGGAGUCCUGCGAGGAUACGUACUCAGGUACCGUCUUGCAGGGCUGCCAGGAGACUACCAGGAGAAAAACAUCAGCAGCCCAGAGACUAACUACUGUCUGCUGAAGGACCUGAUCAUCUGGACCCAAUACCAGAUCCAGGUGGCGGCCUACACCGGAGCGGGCCUGGGCGUCUACAGCAGCCCUGUCACAGAGUACACUCUGCAGGGAGUUCCCACAGCUCCUCCGCAGGAAGUGGAAGUUGUAGCUAUCAACUCGACAACCAUCCGCUUCACAUGGAACCCUCCACCUCAGCAGUUUAUUAAUGGCAUCAAUCAAGGCUACAAGCUGCUGGUGUGGCCGGAGCAGUCUCCAGAGGACGUCACCGUGGUGACCAUCACCCCCGACUACCCCGGCUCGCGGCACACGGGCUUGGUCAGCGGUCUCAGGAAGUUCACCUGGUACUUUGGCUCCACCCUCUGCUUCACGACGCCUGGGGACGGACCCCGCAGCCCCCCCACGCUGCUGCAGACGCACGAGGACGCUCCUGGACCUGUUCGGGACCUCAGCUUCACUGAAAUCUUGGACACCUCCCUUCGAGUCAGCUGGUCGGAGCCUGAAGACAAGAAUGGCAUCAUCACUGGCUACGUGCUGUGGUGGGACGUUCCUGAUGUGGAGUCGAGUCGUGAGGAACGCUCCCUGUCCAACUCCACUCUGCGGUACCAGGUGACCGGCCUCACCUCCACCACCGCCUACAAACUGCAAGUGGCGGCGCUCACCGCCGCAGGACGGGGCGUGGUCACGUCCUCCACCAUCUCCACCGGCGUCCCACCAGAACUUCCAGGCGCUCCCUAUAAUUUAGUCAUCUCCAACAUCAGCCCUCGGACAGCGACGCUUCGAUUCCACCCCGGCCCGGACGGAAAGACAGCGAUCUCACGGUGGAUCGUAGAGGGACAGGUGUGUGAGCGUGGAAAGGAGGAGCCCUGGAGAGUUGUGUAUCAGAAAGACAAUCAGCCAGACGCUGACACGCUGGAGAUCCCUAACCUCACCCCAUUCACUCAGUACCGGUUCAGGAUGCAGCAGGUGAACGUUGUGGGUCCCAGUCCUGUGAGCGCCCCCUCCAGGACGAUUCAGACACUACAGGCAGCCCCGGACACGCACCCCUCCAACCUCACGCUGCUGUCCGCCACACAGACCAGCCUGCGCCUCAGCUGGAAGCCUCUUCAAAGGUCUGAGUACCACAGCAGCCCGGACACGGUGGGCUACCGGCUGCGCGUGUGGAGGACAGACGGGCAGGGGGACGACAGGACCGAGGACGUGGACGGAGCAGCGGAGUCCAGCGAGGACGCCGUGGAGGGUCUUAGUCCCUGGACCCAGUACCAGCUUCAGAUACAGGCCUACAACUCCAUCGGACCCGGACCCUGGAGCGGCACUGUCGCUGCACGCACUGCAGAAUCUGUUCCAUCUGGAUCACCGGUGAAUGUGACUGCUGAGGCGAUGAGUUCCACCAGGAUCCUGCUCACGUGGUCCCCGGUCCCUCAGGCCCAGAAGAAUGGCGUCAUCCUGGGAUAUAAGGUGUUGUACAACGAGAAAGACUCGGAGGGUCCCCCCAGAGUUCGCGACGCACAAGGAGAGGGCAGCUCCUCCGUGCUCCUCGAGGGUCUCCAGAAGUACACGGCGUAUGUGCUGCAGGUGCUGGCACACACGCGGAUGGGCGACGGCCCUCCCAGCAGCGCCAUCCUGCUCUGGACCAGAGAGGACGUCCCAGGCCCCCCUGUCAGGAUGGUGUUCCCAGAGGUUCGAUUGUCAUCAGUCAGGGUGGUUUGGCAGCCACCCACGAAGCCCAAUGGCAACAUACUGGGCUACCAGAUCUCCUACCGCCUCGACAGCAGGGACCCUCUGCGUUGGACCACAGUGGAGGUGGGCUCCACUGGUCGCCAGUUCACCGUCACAGGGCUCUCCCCUGAGCAGAGCUACGUGUUCCGACUCACCGCCCGCACCGCCGUGGGCUGGGGCGACGCGCAGGAGGCGGUGGUCGUCACCACGGAACGCCGAGAGCGUCCGCAGCCGCCCAGGAAGCUGUCGGUUCCUCAGGACGGCGUUGAGUCUCGCCACCUGCUCCUCCACUGGGUGACGGGCGGCUCGGGCUCCUCCCCCCUGCGCUACCUCACCCUGCAGGUCAAGGAGCUGCCGAGCGGCGAGUGGAGCGUGCACGCCGCCGAUAUCCCACACAACGCGACCGCCUGGACCGUGGACCGGCUGAAGCCCUUCACAUCUUACAAGUUCCGUCUGCUGGCAACCAACGACAUAGGAGACAGCCUCCUCAGCAAAGAGACAGAGCCCGUUACAACUCUGCAGGAUGUGCCUGAUGAACCUCCAGUGAUCCUCGCAGUGAAGCCUACAACUACUACCUCAGUCCUGGUGCAGUGGAAGCGGCCCAGUGACGACAGCACCAACGGAGUUCUGACUGGAUACCGGCUCUAUUACCGAGAGCUUCCAGCAAACGGCUCCAGCUCCACCCAAGCAGAAGCACAGGCAACGAAAAGCAACACCACCACGAGCGCCGUCAUCACCACCAAGAGCACCUUCAAGACCGUCAGCAGUGCCUCGCUGACGGAGUUCGAGUUGACGCAGCUGAAGAAGUUCCGACGUUACCAGAUUGUGAUGACGAGCUACAACAUCAUCGGGGAGAGUCCGCCCUCGGCGCCGGUGGAGGUCUCUGUCGGAGAGGCAGCUCCGUCCGUGGCCCCUCAGUCGAUCAGAGUGUCAGCCGUGUCUCCCUCAGUCCUGGAAGUGACCUGGGCCUCACCGCCCAUCGAGACCCAGAACGGACUCAUCCAAGGAUACAAGAUCCACUACUGGGAGAAGGACAAACAGAACCAGACUGAGAAGGUGAAGGUGAUCUUCGUCCCGGACACUCGCGUGCAUCUCACCAACCUGAGCAGCUUCACGCCUUUCCUGGUCACGCUGAGCGCCUUCAACACGGCUGGAGACGGACCCCCCAGCGAGCCCCGUGGAGCCAAGACCAUGCAGUCCGCUCCCAGCCAGCCCAGCUACCUGUCCUUCACGGAGGUGACAGGCGUGAGCGCCAACGUGUCCUGGGGAGCUCCGCUCGCUCCCAACGGGCAGCUGGAGGGCUACAGGGUCAUCUACCAGCCCACGGCGCCCGUGCAAGGCGUGAGUAAAGUGGUGACGGUGGACGUGAAGGGGAGCUGGCAGCGGUCGCUGAAGGUCCGGGACCUGGUGAGAGGAGCGACGUACAUGUUCAGUGUUCAGGCCCUCACAGUCAGCUACGGACCCCCGUUACAGGCCAACCUGACUGCUCACCCUGUGCAAGGCUCUCCGGGUUCACCUGUGGACAUGUCCAUAACCAAGACGUCCUCUGAGCUGAACAUCCACUGGUCUGAGGGCGACAGCGGCGCAGCCCCUGUGAGCGGAUACGUGGUAGAAGCUCGUCCCUCGGAUGAAGGCCUGUGGGAAUCCUUCAGCCGACCCCUCCCCGCCAGCAGCAGGUCCAUUUCAGUGCCACUGGAGCGCCUGAGGUCAGGGAUCAGCUACGAGUUCCGGGUCGUUGCUGUUAAUCGCUAUGGUUACGGGGAGCCCAGUACACCCUCAGCUUCGCUCCGCCCGUUCUACGAGGAGUGGUGGUUCCUGCUGGUCAUGGCUCUGGUGGGGCUCAUCCUCAUUCUGGUCCUGGUCUUCACACUGCUGCUGCACGGACACAGCACCAAGUACAAGGCCUGUGGCACCGGGAAGCACAUGUCCACAGCAGAGGAGUCUGUAACUCUGGACAAUGGCGGAUUCACAGCGCUGGAGCUCAACAGCAGAACACUCAACACCAAGAACUCCUUCCUGAAGAAGAAUGGCACCAGGUCUCCUCCCAGGCCGAGUCCAGGCGGUCUUCACUACUCUGACGAGGACAUCUGUAACAACUACAACGGAGCCGUCCUCACAGAGAGCACCACACUGACUGAGAAGCAGACGGAGGUCUCUGAGUCUGAGCUCACAGACAGCGACUAUGAGGACGAGCAGCCAAAGCACUCCUUCGUCAACCACUACAUGAGCGACCCCACCUACUACAACUCCUGGAAGCGGCAGCCCAAAGGCCUUAAAGCCAUCGGCACUUCGUUCGGCUACGAGGAAUGUGCCACUGCAGACUCGGAGCCCUACUACCAGACCGUGGUCACCCAGCACAACACAGUGGGCACAUACACACCCACGGGGCAGCCUGUGCACACGCACGUCAACCCCAACACCAACCCGCCGGGGUCACGCACCCCAGUCACAGGGUUCUCCUCCUUCGUUUGA